GUAGUGAACAGUUGUUAUGUCGGUGGAGUUUACUAUAAAUUUUGUGUGUGUGUGUAUGUAUGUGCACACCCAGUGAUUACAAUGAGAGAAAGAGAAACAAAAAUAGAGUAAUUAUAGAAUUAAAGAGUGAGAGCAGAGAUGGGCAAUGAGGUUCGAGAGUUCACAGAGGGCUGGAAGUUUGAUGUCCAAAUGUUUCAGUGGUGAUUUAUGUCUCAGUUUUCAGGUACCGAGGAUGAGCUUGGAUCGCUAGUUUCGGGCUUAGGUGGAAGAGUUGGUGUUGAGGAUAUUAUUUAAUUUUAUUUAGAGAAUUUUAUAUUUAUUUGAGGAUAUUGAUGUUGUAUCAUCAAUAAAGGAUAUUUUAUUUCUUUUGAGAUCCUGGGUGUAUAUUGAAGUAUUUGGAUUUCUAAAAUUGAGGAAUUUAUUCAGAAAAUUCGGAUCGCGACAGAAUGGUAUCAGAGCCUGUACCCAGCCGGAAGUGUGAGUUUGGUGAUGAUGUUGACAGGUGUGAGUGGGUGAGUGCUUAGUUCUGAUUAGCCACCACUCGUAGCCUGGUGUGUGUGGGCGGGUGUCGUUCACUGACAGCUACUAGGAUGAUCAAUAAUUAUGUUUGGGCAUGUAUUGCCUAGUUUAUUAUUGGUCUUGUUUUUGUGGGCGAGUGACGGCAUCGACUAGUUACCACAAUGGUUAUAGAGUGUGUGGGCGGGUAAUUAGCACUGUUAGCUACCACAACGUUUUUCAUGUCACGGUAUCUCACAUCGCCUGGGGUAAGGAUUUUUGUAUUGUGUUUUGCCACUUUUGAUGUUUUCAGGUAUGCAAAGACUGUUGGAUCUGAAUUUCGGGACGAAAUUCUUUUUAUGUGGUGGAGAAUGUGACAACCCGGAUGUUUAAGAGUUGAAAUUUUAUUUAUUUCAUGAUUUUUAGUUGUCAAGAUUGAGUAUUUAAUUUUGAUUGGAUUUACCCACUUGAUAUUUAAUGGGUUGAAUUUCAUUUGUGUUACAUUAUAUAUAUGUGUGUGUGUGUGUGUGUGUGUGUGUGUGUGUGUGUGUGUGUGUCUGAUGGAAGGCAUUUGGGCUGAAUAAAAAAGGGAACCAACCGAGUUUAGUGAAAAGGAAAGGGAAAAAGAAAUGGAGAUGGAAAAGUGGUAUUGUGGGUCCACUUGAAGAAUGUUUAAAUGGGAUUGAAUUUAGUUUUUUGUUGCAUCUUUACUUAUGAUAUAUAUAUAUAUAUAUAUAUAUUCAUUUUGUAUCAUCUGAUGGAAGAGGAGUAAGCUGGCAGCCGAAAUUGUGACAAAAAGAAAAGGAAAUGUAAUGAUUUUUUCGUGAGACCCAUUAGGAGGAUUUUUGUGUAUAACCUUUUUAACUUUGAUUUUUGCACAUAGGUUGUUUGCAUUGUGUCUGAUGAAUUAUUGUAUAUAAAUUUUAUGAAUGUCUAAAGUAAGAUAAUAUCUUCUGACUCCUUUUUGAGGCGUGGUGGUGAGCAGUUGUUGUGCCGGUGGAGUUUACUAUAAAUUAUGUGUGUGUGCGCGCGCGCACGCAUCGAGUGAUUGCAAUGAGAGAAAGAGAUACAAAAAUAGAGGAAUUAGAGAAUUAAAGAGUGAGAGCAGAGAUGGACAGUGAGGUGUGGGAGUUCACAGAAGUUUAAUGUCCAGAUGUUUCAGUGAUGAUUUGUGUUUCAGUGUAGGGUUCUUCAUACCUUGAAUGGCCUGGAUGAUUUUGUUUUGAAUAUUUUAUUGACUGUUAUUUUGCUAAAAUUGUAUAUAUGUAUUUUGUAUAAGAGCAUAUGUAUUUUUUUGUGAAGCUAAUUUGUAUGAAACUUCUUAAAAUCCUUGUUAUGGUUUUUCCUACUGGGACUUCCCCCGUCUUACCCCCUUUCAGUUUCAGGUACCAAGGAUGAGCUUGGAUCGCUAGAUUCGGGCUUAGGUGGAAGAUUUGAUGUUUAGGAUAUUAUUUAAUUUUAUUUAGAAAAUUUUAUAUCUAUUUGAGGAUAUUUAUGCUGUAUCAAUAAAGGAUAUUUUAUUUCUUUUGAAA